GCCUGGGUGGCUCAGUCAGUUAAGCGUCCGACUUUGACUCAGAUCAUGAUCUCACAGUCUGUGGGUUUGAGCCCCUUCUCAGGCU
rnacentral:tRNA from 1 species